rnacentral:lncRNA from 10 species
AGUUUCAAUAAGAAAUAAUGGGAGCAUGAACUUUGCAGAAAAGAUAAAAAUGGAAUGAAGACAGAACUCUGUGAGAGAAAGAACAUAGUAACUAUUCUAAUGAUGUUGGGAUCCUCAGUCUUCCAGAGGAUGGCAAUGGGAUUUGCUAAUACAGGAUGGGAGAGAGAAUGACAGAAUUUAAGAAAGAAGUGAUUAUGCUGUUGAAAUCGUGAAGAUUUUACAGACUGCCUCCCAGAUUCACUGCCAGCAUCAGCAUGCUUGACUAGGAGAGUCAGGAGGGCCCUGCCAAGUCUGAUGCACUAUCUCUACCAUGACACCCUGAGGAGGAACUUGGAUUUCAAAUUAGUGAGCAGUCGGUACAAUGUAUUUCACUAUGCCAUGUUCAACAGAAAGGAAUACGAGCUUGAAAUACAUUCACAGAGUCUGUCAUCUUUUCCUAUCUCUCCAACAAAGAGAAGAGCUUUCUUUCUAGUUUGGACUGCCAAUGUCUUCCCUUCCACCUCGGGACUCAUUCUCUUGCAAUUUGGCACUGCCAACCCAGGAAAAGAGCUGAAGCAAUGCAUAUGGCUUCACAGCUGGAGACCACACUCCUCAGCCUCCUUACAACCAACCUGUCUUGUUUGAAUCCAUUCUCUUCAAGGGAAUGAGAACAAAAUUUACGUGUGCAGCUUCCAGCCCAUCAUCCAGUUCCCUGUCUUCUGCUAGCAGUACCCUGAUUUUGCUCUGUGGAAUCAUCCUCUUCCUGACUUUCAGCUCAUGUGCUUCUGGUAAUGAAUGGUGGCGCUUGGAUGUGGCUCCCAGCUUUCUGAAAGGAUACUCCAAAAAGAAUGUUCUAACCUCCAAAGUUGGUUUCCAUAAGGAAUUUAAAGAUUGUCCUGGGAUGAUGGACCCCACAGAAGUUAUAACAAGAAGAGGACAAGAGUGACCAUUAAGUAUGAACUUCUUUAGGAGAAUAUAACAGGUUUGGAAGAUCAAGGAAUGAAGGUGCUGGGAGAAUCAAACAGUUUAAUAUAUGUAAAAUGCUUAGAAACAUGCUGCCUGCCUGGAGGGAUUUAAAGCUGUUCAUCUAAGCACUCUUUUGCUGUCACCAAUGGCAUCUUUGGCACAUAUAUGCAAGAAUAGUGGAUACCUGAAAGGCAUUUGGGAAUGUGAACUCAGAGACUGUGAAAGGCAAAAACAAGGACACUGUGUACCACUUGUUGCCCAGGUUGGUCUCAAAUCUUGAUUCCUGCUCUCAAGGGAUCCUUCCACUUCAGCUUCCCAAAUCACGGGAAUUACAGGGUGAAGGUACGCUCGAGCGUGGUCAUUGAGGACAAGUCGACGAGAGAUCCCGAGUACGUCUACAGUCAGCCUUACG